CCUACGUGAGGCAGCAGUGAGGAAUAUUGGUCAAUGGACGAGAGUCUGAACCAGCCAAGUAGCGUGAAGGAUGACUGCCCUAUGGGUUGUAAACUUCUUUUAUAUGGGAAUAAAAUGUUCCACGUGUGGGAUUUUGUAUGUACCAUAUGAAUAAGGAUCGGCUAACUCCGCGCCAGCAGCCGCGGUAAUACGGAGGAUCCGAGCGUUAUCAGGAUUUAUCGGGUUUAAAGGGAGCGUAGGUGGAUUGUUAAGUCAGUGGUGAAAGUUUGGGGCUCAACCGUAAAAUUGCAGUUGAAACUGGCAGUCUGGAGUGCAGUAGAGGUGAGCGGAAUGCGUGGUGUAGCGGUGAAAUGCGUAGAUAUCACGAAGAACUCCGGUUGCGAAGGCAGCUCACUGGACUGCAACUGACACUGAGGCUCGAAAGUGUGGGUAUCAAACAGGAUUAGAUACCCCUGUAGUC
rnacentral:rRNA from 1 species